rnacentral:rRNA from 1 species
GGUUAAGCGACUAAGCGUACACGGUGGAUGCCCUGGCAGUCAGAGGCGAUGAAGGACGUGCUAAUCUGCGAUAAGCGUCGGUAAGGUGAUAUGAACCGUUAUAACCGGCGAUUUCCGAAUGGGGAAACCCAGUGUGAUUCGUCACACUAUCAUUAACUGAAUCCAUAGGUUAAUGAGGCGAACCGGGGGAACUGAAACAUCUAAGUACCCCGAGGAAAAGAAAUCAACCGAGAUUCCCCCAGUAGCGGCGAGCGAACGGGGAGCAGCCCAGAGCCUGAAUCAGUGUGUGUGUUAGUGGAAGCGUCUGGAAAGGCGCGCGAUACAGGGUGACAGUCCCGUACACAAAAAUGCACAUGCUGUGAGCUCGAUGAGUAGGGCGGGACACGUGGUAUCCUGUCUGAAUAUGGGGGGACCAUCCUCCAAGGCUAAAUACUCCUGACUGACCGAUAGUGAACCAGUACCGUGAGGGAAAGGCGAAAAGAACCCCGGCGAGGGGAGUGAAAAAGAACCUGAAACCGUGUACGUACAAGCAGUGGGAGCACGCUUAGGCGUGUGACUGCGUACCUUUUGUAUAAUGGGUCAGCGACUUAUAUUCUGUAGCAAGGUUAACCGAAUAGGGGAGCCGAAGGGAAACCGAGUCUUAACUGGGCGUUAAGUUGCAGGGUAUAGACCCGAAACCCGGUGAUCUAGCCAUGGGCAGGUUGAAGGUUGGGUAACACUAACUGGAGGACCGAACCGACUAAUGUUGAAAAAUUAGCGGAUGACUUGUGGCUGGGGGUGAAAGGCCAAUCAAACCGGGAGAUAGCUGGUUCUCCCCGAAAGCUAUUUAGGUAGCGCCUCGUGAAUUCAUCUCCGGGGGUAGAGCACUGUUUCGGCAAGGGGGUCAUCCCGACUUACCAACCCGAUGCAAACUGCGAAUACCGGAGAAUGUUAUCACGGGAGACACACGGCGGGUGCUAACGUCCGUCGUGAAGAGGGAAACAACCCAGACCGCCAGCUAAGGUCCCAAAGUCAUGGUUAAGUGGGAAACGAUGUGGGAAGGCCCAGACAGCCAGGAUGUUGGCUUAGAAGCAGCCAUCAUUUAAAGAAAGCGUAAUAGCUCACUGGUCGAGUCGGCCUGCGCGGAAGAUGUAACGGGGCUAAACCAUGCACCGAAGCUGCGGCAGCGACGCUUAUGCGUUGUUGGGUAGGGGAGCGUUCUGUAAGCCUGCGAAGGUGUGCUGUGAGGCAUGCUGGAGGUAUCAGAAGUGCGAAUGCUGACAUAAGUAACGAUAAAGCGGGUGAAAAGCCCGCUCGCCGGAAGACCAAGGGUUCCUGUCCAACGUUAAUCGGGGCAGGGUGAGUCGACCCCUAAGGCGAGGCCGAAAGGCGUAGUCGAUGGGAAACAGGUUAAUAUUCCUGUACUUGGUGUUACUGCGAAGGGGGGACGGAGAAGGCUAUGUUGGCCGGGCGACGGUUGUCCCGGUUUAAGCGUGUAGGCUGGUUUUCCAGGCAAAUCCGGAAAAUCAAGGCUGAGGCGUGAUGACGAGGCACUACGGUGCUGAAGCAACAAAUGCCCUGCUUCCAGGAAAAGCCUCUAAGCAUCAGGUAACAUCAAAUCGUACCCCAAACCGACACAGGUGGUCAGGUAGAGAAUACCAAGGCGCUUGAGAGAACUCGGGUGAAGGAACUAGGCAAAAUGGUGCCGUAACUUCGGGAGAAGGCACGCUGAUAUGUAGGUGAAGUCCCUCGCGGAUGGAGCUGAAAUCAGUCGAAGAUACCAGCUGGCUGCAACUGUUUAUUAAAAACACAGCACUGUGCAAACACGAAAGUGGACGUAUACGGUGUGACGCCUGCCCGGUGCCGGAAGGUUAAUUGAUGGGGUUAGCGCAAGCGAAGCUCUUGAUCGAAGCCCCGGUAAACGGCGGCCGUAACUAUAACGGUCCUAAGGUAGCGAAAUUCCUUGUCGGGUAAGUUCCGACCUGCACGAAUGGCGUAAUGAUGGCCAGGCUGUCUCCACCCGAGACUCAGUGAAAUUGAACUCGCUGUGAAGAUGCAGUGUACCCGCGGCAAGACGGAAAGACCCCGUGAACCUUUACUAUAGCUUGACACUGAACAUUGAGCCUUGAUGUGUAGGAUAGGUGGGAGGCUUUGAAGUGUGGACGCCAGUCUGCAUGGAGCCGACCUUGAAAUACCACCCUUUAAUGUUUGAUGUUCUAACGUUGACCCGUAAUCCGGGUUGCGGACAGUGUCUGGUGGGUAGUUUGACUGGGGCGGUCUCCUCCUAAAGAGUAACGGAGGAGCACGAAGGUUGGCUAAUCCUGGUCGGACAUCAGGAGGUUAGUGCAAUGGCAUAAGCCAGCUUGACUGCGAGCGUGACGGCGCGAGCAGGUGCGAAAGCAGGUCAUAGUGAUCCGGUGGUUCUGAAUGGAAGGGCCAUCGCUCAACGGAUAAAAGGUACUCCGGGGAUAACAGGCUGAUACCGCCCAAGAGUUCAUAUCGACGGCGGUGUUUGGCACCUCGAUGUCGGCUCAUCACAUCCUGGGGCUGAAGUAGGUCCCAAGGGUAUGGCUGUUCGCCAUUUAAAGUGGUACGCGAGCUGGGUUUAGAACGUCGUGAGACAGUUCGGUCCCUAUCUGCCGUGGGCGCUGGAGAACUGAGGGGGGCUGCUCCUAGUACGAGAGGACCGGAGUGGACGCAUCACUGGUGUUCGGGUUGUCAUGCCAAUGGCACUGCCCGGUAGCUAAAUGCGGAAGAGAUAAGUGCUGAAAGCAUCUAAGCACGAAACUUGCCCCGAGAUGAGUUCUCCCUGACUCCUUGAGAGUCCUGAAGGAACGUUGAAGACGACGACGUUGAUAGGCCGGGUGUGUAAGCGCAGCGAUGCGUUGAGCUAACCGGUACUAAUGAACCGUGAGGCUUAACCUU